UACGGAGGGUGCGAGCGUUGUUCGGAAUCAUUGGGCGUAAAGAGCUCGUAGGCGGUCUGUCGCGUCGAUCGUGAAAACUUGGGGCUUAACCCUGAGCUUGCGGUCGAUACGGGCAUGACUGGAGUUCGGCAGGGGAGACUGGAAUUCCUGGUGUAGCGGUGAAAUGCGCAGAUAUCAGGAGGAACACCGGUGGCGAAGGCGGUUCUCUGGGCCUGUACUGACGCUGAGGAACGAAAGCGUGGGGAGCGAACAGG
rnacentral:rRNA from 1 species